rnacentral:rRNA from 2 species
GGGGAAUAUUGCACAAUGGGCGCAAGCCUGAUGCAGCAACGCCGCGUGAGCGAUGAAGGCCUUCGGGUCGUAAAGCUCUGUCCUUGGGGAAGAAACAAAUGACGGUACCCUUGGAGGAAGCCCCGGCUAACUACGUGCCAGCAGCCGCGGUAAUACGUAGGGGGCGAGCGUUAUCCGGAAUUAUUGGGCGUAAAGAGUACGUAGGUGGUUAUGUAAGCGUGGGGUGAAAGGCAAUGGCUCAACCAUUGUUAGCCAUACGAACUGCAUGGCUUGAGUGCAGGAGAGGAAAGCGGAAUUCCUAGUGUAGCGGUGAAAUGCGUAGAUAUUAGGAGGAACACCAGUGGCGAAGGCGGCUUUCUGGACUGUAACUGACACUGAGGUACGAAAGCGUGGGGAGCAAACA